rnacentral:rRNA from 1 species
CUACGGGACGCUGCAGUGAGGAGUAUUGCACAAUGGGGGGAACCCUGAUGCAGCAACGCCGCGUGGAGGAUGACGCAUUUCGGUGUGUAAACUCCUUUUAUAUGUCAAGAAAAUGACGGUAGCAUAUGAAUAAGCACCCGCUAACUCCGUGCCAGCAGCCGCGGUAAUACGGAGGGUGCAAGCGUUACUCGGAAUCACUGGGCGUAAAGGACGCGUAGGCGGGUUGGAAAGUCAGGUGUGAAAUCCUACAGCUUAACUGUAGAACUGCACUUGAAACUUCUAAUCUAGAGUAUGGGAGGGGGAGAUGGAAUUAGUGGUGUAGGGGUAAAAUCCGUAGAUAUCACUAGGAAUACCUAAAGCGAAGGCGAUCUCCUGGAACAUUACUGACGCUAAGGCGUGAAAGCGUGGGGAGCAAACAGGAUUAGAUACCCCGGUAGUC